rnacentral:rRNA from 1 species
UACGUAGGGUGCAAGCGUUGUCCGGAAUUAUUGGGCGUAAAGAGCUCGUAGGCGGUUUGUCGCGUCGGCUGUGAAAACCUGGGGCUUAACUCCGGGCCUGCAGCCGAUACGGGCAGACUAGAGUUCGGCAGGGGAGACUGGAAUUCCUGGUGUAGCGGUGGAAUGCGCAGAUAUCAGGAAGAACACCCGUGGCGAAGGCGGCUCUCUGGAACGCAACUGACGCUGAGACG